rnacentral:rRNA from 1 species
AGUGAGCGCUGGCGGUAGGCCUAACACAUGCAAGUCGAACGGCAGCACAGUAAGAGCUUGCUCUUACGGGUGGCGAGUGGCGGACGGGUGAGGAAUACAUCGGAAUCUACUUUUUCGUGGGGGAUAACGUAGGGAAACUUACGCUAAUACCGCAUACGACCUACGGGUGAAAGCAGGGGAUCUUCGGACCUUGCGCGAUUGAAUGAGCCGAUGUCGGAUUAGCUAGUUGGCGGGGUAAAGGCCCACCAAGGCGACGAUCCGUAGCUGGUCUGAGAGGAUGAGCAGCCACACUGGAACUGAGACACGGUCCAGACUCCUACGGGAGGCAGCAGUGGGGAAUAUUGGACAAUGGGCGCAAGCCUGAUCCAGCCAUACCGCGUGGGUGAAGAAGGCCUUCGGGUUGUAAAGCCCUUUUGUUGGGAAAGAAAAGCAGCAGGUUAAUACCCCGCUGUUCUGACGGUACCCAAAGAAUAAGCACCGGCUAACUUCGUG